AGAGCGAACGCUGGCGGCAGGCCUAAUACAUGCAAGUCGAACGGCUCUUCGGAGCAGUGGCGGACGGGUGAGUAACGCGUGGGAAUGUGCCCUUUGGUACGGAACAACUGAGGGAAACUUCAGCUAAUACCGUAUGUGCCCUUCGGGGGAAAGAUUUAUUGCCAUUGGAGCAGCCCGCGUUGGAUUAGCUAGUUGGUGGGGUAAAGCCCACCAAGGCGACGAUCCAUAGCUGGUCUGAGAGGAUGAUCAGCCACACUGGGACUGAGACACGGCCCAGACUCCGUACGGGAGGCAGCAGUAGGGAAUCUUGCGCAAUGGGCGAAAGCCUGACGCAGCCAUCGCCGCGUAGAAUGAUGAAGGUCUUAGAUUAGUAAAUUCUUACGACGGG
rnacentral:rRNA from 1 species